CUGCACGCAGAUGGCAGCGUUGCCAUAUGCGACAACAGCAAGGGCAGCAACAGUUGCUGCCCUUUUUUGUUUUUGCGUCAACGAUUUUGACAUCAAAAUUCUUCCUAAACACAACACAUGCAGUUCAAAACUAAUCAUUCGCAUGAACAACCAGGCUCUGAUACCACUGUUGGGAAAUUUGGGGGCGACAUCACAUGUGCAGCGGAAGAAAAGAAAACAAAAUCCCCUAUUCCCAAAGAGAUGUUCGUCGUCAUGCAAAGAUUGAUGCGCAAAAUCCGUGAAACUUAAAACUGCGUAUAGAGUAGAUUGUGUUACCUAGGGAGAUCAUAUAUCUCUGUUUCCUUGCAGAUCUUUAGGAGAGGGUGAAGGAGGUCAAGCGUCCUCCUCUCUAGCGGUGAUCUACACAGCAGGGCUGCGACGACGCUCCUCAAAACUCCAGGCCUACUCUGAGGUGGAGAGAGAGAGGAGAAUAGGAGAGAUAAGCAAAGGCUCUAGCCUAUAAGGCUCUAAAUCUCUCCUAUUUAUAGAGGCCCCCUAUUAAAAUCUUAUGGAUCCUCCCCUAGUGGGUAUUGGAUCUGUAUCCAAUUACCCAAGCCUUUUAAAUUAGUAGAUCUCUAUCCAAUAAUCUCUCAUGGGCUCUUAUUGGAUCUCGUCCAUGGGAUCCAAUAAUUCAAGGGCUUAUUGGAUAUCUAAUAAGAUAGGG
rnacentral:lncRNA from 1 species